UCUCAAAGAAAAGACACAGGCUGUGUAUGGACAUGGGGGCCUCUGAAAAUAAUUAGCCAUCCCUCAAAGCUGCUGGAAUGGGGAACACUGGGGACAGGGAGCCGCAUGAUGCCAAGGACAGGCCUCCAAACUGAGGUCACAGGGUGGCCCAAGGCCCUGGAAAUCAGGGCAGCUGCCUCUACAGUGGGUGUAAUUCCAGGCAGUAGCUGCCAAGCUGAGUGGGCCCCUGCAAGAAGAGAAGUGCCCGUCUUCUGGUCAACCUGGAGAUUUGCAUCUCUCCAUCGUGCCCAGUCUCUGGCAGGAAGCCCCACUCCCCAGCCGACACUGCACCAUGCUCAUGGAGGAAGAAGCUGUGCAGCACAGCCCAACAGCGUUUUCCCCUUUCGGUUUUCUAGAGUAGUCUUGCAGAACUAUUUUUUGGUUUUUUUUUUUUUGAGAGAGUCUCACUCUGUUGCCCAGGCUGGAGUGCAGUGGCACCACCUCAGCUCACUGCAACCACCGCCUCCUGGAUUCAAGCGAUUCUCCUGCCUCAGCUCCAGAGUAGCUGAGAUUACAGGUGUGCACCAAAACACCUGGCUAAUUUGUUUUUAUUUUCAGUGGAGACAAGGUUUCACCAUGUUGGUCAGGCUGGCCUCAAACUCUUUGACCUCAGGUGAUCUGCAUGCCUUGGCCUCCCAAAGUGCUGGGAUUACAGGCAUGAGCCACUGCCCCUGGCCAUAGUCUUGCAGAACUACUUUGUCACUCCACAGAGAUCAGUAGUUUAAGGCACAGCGAAGGUGCCCAGCUGAACUUUGAUUAUUUCCUGUGCAGCAUAAAGUUCUGCUCCUCGGGAGUAAAUCUGCAAAUCAGAGCCUUCCUCAGGAAGAUAGCUCUACAGAUGACCCAGGGGAACAAGUACAAGCCGUGCGUUCCAGCACCCAGGAUUUCUUGUUUCAUGUCAUUUUAAAGAACACAUGGUUUCGAGUAUACUAUGGAGUCCUAGGUUUAUUCCCAGCCUUGGCCUCAGUUGUCAAGCUAGCUGUUCCUUUUUACUUGGGGGAUUCAGCCCCUUCCCAUUUUACCCACCAACUCUUAAUCAUCUCCCCUGCUCUACUCAACCAUCUUUUUCUGGACACUCUUCCUGCUUCCUGCAUAACCUAGUUUAGAGCAGUCCCCUUAUGCUAGUCUCUAAAGCUUCCUGUUCUUAUCACAAUUUUAAUCAAAGUAUACUCUCUCUCUUUUUUUUUUUCUUCCUGAGAUGGAGUCUCA
rnacentral:lncRNA from 1 species